GGUAGAUAAAAGGAAGAAAAGAAAGAAGAGCCUCAUUUUGCUCUUUGGGACCGUCGGCUAGAGAGAGAGAGAAAGAGAGAGAGGGAGAGAGAGUGUCCAAUUCUAGCGAGAGAGGGAGAGAAGAAAAAACGUGAAGGAGAAGACAAAGAGAACGCCAAGGCUAGUGAUCUUAAGGUCUUCGCUGAGAACAUAGAAGGUUGGUGGCUAGGGUUCGAAAUCCCUAGGGUUUCGAAACACUAGGGUAAUCAAAGUGGUGGCUAAAUUUUGAGUCCUUGAUUUCUACCAAGGAAGGCAAUGGAUUCUCUAUCUAUGUUGUUGGAUGAAUCUAUUAUUGGUUAUGGUUUUGUGGUAUUUAAUGGAUUAGUCAAUACAGGUUGAUGAUGGAAGGUUAUUGUUUUGGUUAGGAGAUGGUAUUGAUAAUGUUGGUGAGAAUUGGUUGAUCUUGUUCUUGGAAAGCAUGUAGGAUUAUUUGAGGUUGAAUUUUAUAUGUUUGUGUGGUUAUUAUGAUUAUUAUUAUUUGUUAAAUAUAGAUUAUGUAUGAUUAAUUGUUGACAAGGGUUUUGGUUUUUGAUCUACUAAAAUAUGAUGAUGGUUGUUUUUCAUAAUUUUAGAACAUGAAAAGAUUUGUUGAAUUUGGGCUAUGAGGGCUUCAGCCUAAGGGUGAUUUUUAAAGCAUGAUUGAUUUCAUUUUUAUGACUUAAUAUCACUUGUAAUCUUAAAAACAUGAUAGGUUGUUUGUGAGAUUUUAAAUGGGUAUAAUUUCCUUUAAAGAUUUAAUUUGAUUUAUUGUGUAUAAAGGUUGACUUCUUGAUGCUUGGAUAGUUUUUCUUCUUUGAAUACUUGAAAGGUAGAAACAUGUUAGGUGUUAUAUUGAAAACAUGAUUUAAAAGUGGUUUACCUUUUAUUUAUGCUUGCUGUUUUUUUUUUAUUGUCUUGGAAUGAAAAUGAUAAAUAAAUAUUUUAGAAUGCACAUGUGAUGCCUCAAGAAUUGUUUGAUUUUAUGUAAAUAAAAUGGCAUAUUAUUUCACAUGUCAAUGGUGUUUUUAUCAAAUUAAUACAUGCAUAUUUUUUGAAUAUUUUAUGAAAGAAAGUAUAUUUUUAAUCCAAGUUUGUGAGUUUAAUUAAAUAAAAUAGUUGCUGGAAUUUUUGGAUAAUACUAAGAAAAGUCUUUUAAAUGAGAUAAAUAAAACUAGUGCAUUAAAUAAACUAAAUUAUAAGUAUGUAUAAAUUAAAUGUUAUAUUUUUAUGAUUUAAGUAUGUAUUUUCUCACUUAAGAAUAUAUGUCAUUUUUUUUUUUAAUUUUGUGAAAAAGAAUAUGGUCUACAUUCAAUUUUAUGAUUUAAACAAAUAAGUUUGCAUGCUGGAAUUUUGGUUCAUUAAGAACAAAAUGAUUAUUUUAUAAAAGAUAGGUAGGUCUUACACCCUAAUAAUUUAUGUCUUAAAUGAUAUACUUGAAAAUAUAAUUUUUCCACACUUUAUUUAUGAAUUUUCACAUUUAUAAACAUGCAGAUUUUUUAGAGAUUAGUAAAAUUAUUUUUCUAAUAGGAAAUAAGAACUUAUUAAAUUAUUCUAAAUAGCUACAAUUUUGUCACAAUUUUUAUAUGCUAUUUAAAUAAUAAAUGGAAUUAUUAUUUUAUGAGAAAUUAGAAAAUGCCAAAUGGAUUAUUUUAUAAAGUAAAUAUGUUGUAUUAAAAUUUGUAUAACAAUUUUGGGAUUUAAAGAAACAAUUAAAUUGUAAAUAAAGUAUGUUGCUAAAUUUGUUUGAAGAGGUACGAAAUAAGCAUGUAGAAAUUAUCGUUUUAAAACGUUAAAUUUUAAGAACGCUCACACAUAUGUAUGUUGCGUGCAAAUGCAUUUUUACGUUCAAAUAUAUGCCUGUUGUUCAAAUACAUGAAUUUUACCUUGUAACCAUGAAUGAUUAAUAAGAAGAAUUAGCAUUGUUCUUUUAUGAUUUUAUGUGAAAUUAUUAUAUGUUUGCAACGGUAGUGCAACUUGUGCCACGUGUGCAUGGUCCAUGCACAAGUGGGGUAUGUAUGUUGGGCAUGAGUAGUCUUACAUGAUUCUAAGAGGCAAACAUUUGGUUAUGAUUAUAGGCUCGUUGUGACGUUUUCUCAUUUUGCUUUGCUCGGACAUGAGGUAAGGAAGUUGGAUAGAAUUUUCUAUGUUUUAUUCUAUGACAUGAUAAGACUUGUAUGUUCUAAGAAGUAAAGUACAAUGGAAAUGAAAGUGCUAUGUUUUGAUAUGCCAUGAAAGACAAGUGUUAUGAAGUAGGUAAUCUCUAUGUUUUGAUUUUAAUUGUAUUACAUGUGCUUGUAUGAUGAAUGAAAAGAAAAGGUUGCUAGCUUGUUUAACGCAAGGCAAUAGAGGAGUUACUAAGUUUAAGACGUAACUCACAUGGCUGACGCGCCGAGGUUAUUCAAGGACAUGAUAUCCUAUUUACCUCAUAGAGGAGGUUUUACCAGCCCAGGUUAUACUCGUUACCUCAAGAUGUGACAUGGACAACAAAGGGUUUCUCUCUGGCACGCGUUGUGAUGUGGGGAGUUGCGAUGUCUAAGUAUGUAUGGCGUGGGGGUUUCUGAUGAAUGAAUAAACGAUUAAUAUGAGCGCCGAUAUUUAAAUAAACUAUGUUAUGGAUUUUAUUUCUAAAUAUGCCAGUGGGACUUACACUUUUAUUUUCUUUUAGACAUUGCAUAUGAAUACUUUAUCUUUAUUUUUAACUAUUGGGCCCAAACUUUCAUGCUUUGUCAAGGCCCCACUAAAUUUGUCUUUUAAGUGGUAUUUUUUCUAUUAUCUAUGAGAUAAGUGACUUUUUAUAAAGUAAUAGAAUUAGGCGCUUUACAUCUCGGUAAUCUAUUAUUAAAUUCUUCUCAAUUCUUUUAACUGUAAAUGGAUAUUAUAUCCUAUAUUCCCAACUUAGAUGAAAUAAGAGAAAUAAAAAAAACAUAAAAUUAUUUAUAUAUAUAUUCACGAUAUGUUCCCUAUGGUCACCGAGUUCAUGAAUUAUGGCCAACAAACAGUAGGGGCUGCAAGGUACAUUUGUCAAAGUUUCAUGAUUAUCCUAUUGCAUGUAAAUCGUUUACCUAUAACUAUUCAAAAUACUUAUGAAUAGGCAAUUGUCGUGGAAUAGUUUCGUAGUCGAAUCCAUUUUGAAUUUGAUAAAUGUAUUGCUUGUGAAGUCUUUGUUCUUGUAUGUCCUAUAGAUCUAUCGAUCAUUGAUUGGAAAUUUGAAACUGAUAUUCGUAAGAAACGAUUACUUAAUUACAACAUUGAUUUUGGGAUCUGUAUAUUUUUGGGAACUGUGUUGAGUAUUGUCCAACAAAUUGUUUAUCAAUGACUGAAGAAUAUGAAUUUUCUACUUAUGAUCGUCACAACUUGAAUUCUAAUCCAAUUGACCUGGGUUGUUUACCAAUAUCAGUACUUGACGAUUAUACAACUCGAAUAAUUUUUAAUUCACCUCAAAUAAAAAAAAAGUAAAUCCCCUGAUUAAUGAUUAAUGAAUUUUUUUUGAAGUCCUACAAAUUUUUUUUAUUAAUUAUCAACCAUUUUUUCUCGUCUGGUCUCAAUAGGUUCAUGAAUUUAUUAAUUUUUUUUUAUCACAUAUUUUACAUAGAAUGGAUUUGCUUGAACCAAUACAUGAUUUUGUUUUAGUCUUUAUGGGCUUAAGUCUUAUCUUAGGAGGUAUAAGAGUAGUAUUAUUUACCAACCCAAUUUAUCCUGCCUUCUUGUUAGGAUUUGUUCUUGUUUCUAUAUCCUUAAUAUAUAUUCUAUUAAAUACGAAUUUUGUAGCUGCUGCACAACUCCUUAUUUAUGUGGGGCCAAUAACUGUUUUAAUUCUAUUUGUUGUGAUGUUCAUGAAUGGUUUAGAAUAUAACAAAGAUUUUCAUCUUUUGAUCCUUAGGGAUGGGGUUACUUUGCUGCUUUGUACAAGUAUUUUUUUUUUACUAAUGCUUACUACUACAUAUACGUCAUGGUACGGGAUUAUUUGGACAGUAAGAUCAAACCAGAUUAUAGAGCAUGAUUUGCUAAGUAAUAGCUGUUACACCCAAAUUUUGAGAAUAAAUAAAUAGCCUCGAAAUGUAGGCUCAAAAAUCUUAAGCUUGGGAUCUACAAGUGUUAGCAGUACACAUAUAUGAAUUGUCACAUGGUUCUAGAGCUGUUGUUAGCACUUGAGCAUGAGUCGCAGUGUUCGAGCUUGAGCUGCACCCUAAAAGACAUCAACCUUCUCCGAGGAAUGAGUUCGACCGAAUUAGUGGAUGAGGAGGAGGCUACAACUGGAACGAUGAGCUUGUAGUUUGGCAAGUCGUGAAAGCAUUUCAGCAUAACGAUCGAGCUCAAUGACGCGUUUGUCACACAGAAGGGCUAUUAGGAAAUCCCUAUUUUGUAGGGAUUCGUUAUUAUCGUGUAUUAAAUUGCUUUAAUGAUGGGAUAUUAUGUAAUUAACUCAAUUAAUGCAUUUAUUUCAAAUUUGAAUGCUUGAUUGUAACUUCCCUGAAUUUGGAGAAGAUAUUCCUACAAGUAGGUCUAAAAAUAGCCUGGAGUAAUUCAUUUGUAUUCACACACAAAUUGUAAUGCAGAAACUCCGCCAAAUUGCUCUUAUUCAAAGCUUUGAGAGAGUAUUGUUAAUAAUAGUGACUCAUGGACUAUGAAGAU